UACAGAGGUCCCAAGCGUUGUUCGGAUUCACUGGGCGUAAAGGGUGCGUAGGUGGCAAGGUAAGUUUGAUGUGAAAUCUCCGGGCUUAACCCGGAAACUGCAUUGAAUACUAUCUCGCUCGAGAGUUGGAGGGGAGACUGGAAUACUUGGUGUAGCAGUGAGAUGCGUAGAUAUCAAGUGGAACACCAGUGGCGAAGGCGAGUCUCUGGACAACUUCUGACACUGAGGCACGAAAGCUAGGGGAGCAAACAGG
rnacentral:rRNA from 1 species